CUAUGCUUACAUUAUCAGAUAGCAAUGAGACUUUUCCUAUUACAAAUACUCCUAAAAGAGAUCUCAGUCCUCCUACUUUAAGAACUAGUGAAAGUGAGUAUAUACAUCUAAAUGAAUGAUUACAUCUAUUUAAAAUAUUAUAAUUUAUAAAUAUAAUUUUAUACUUGUAUAACAAUUAUAUGCAUGCUUAAUAUUGACUAUAUUUAUAUUUCUAGAUUCUUCCUUAUCUAGGAG
rnacentral:lncRNA from 1 species